AGGAACUCCGAGGGAGCGGUGUGUCAAAGGCAAGGCAGUAGCGUCAUGAAGUUGUAAGUCGAAGGUCUGAUGUCCCAGCGGAGGCACGGCAGGUUGUGUGACGGCAGAGAGGAACAGGGUGGAGCGGCUAUUUUUACCUGAAGCCCAGGAGUGAGCUCGACACAGAAGGUGAAGCAGGAGGAGAGUGGAAUUUGGGCAGCGUUUGGGAACGUGAACCAGUCGUGAAUAGUGCUGCACAAACACAGGAGCACCCCUCCUCCAUGCCGCCUCUGUUUUCCACGGGAUUGCCGGACGCCAAACAGGCAAGAAAAAUGACCAGCAUGCUCUCCUUACUCCCCUGAGAAGUGAGUCCUACACACAGGGAUGUGGCUAUUACUUAUCAUCAUCAAAAAGUGCUUGUUUGGUGAUAAUAAGGGCCUGGGAUAGAAAUCUCAGCUAAAGGGAGGGAGGGGACUACCUGAAGUAGCAACGGAGGAAUCCUUCCUCUGCUUACCCAAGCAUUUUUUUUUUUUUGCCUCUGUAAAACGGUGGGCCUGCUCUAAGACCCGGCUUAGCCCAGAAAUAGAGGAAGAUAGGAAAAACUGUUAUUAGCCAUGGUUAGAAGGACGAAAUAAGAUAAAGAAUAACAGACAACAACUUGAAAUGUGCUUACUGUGCACGAGAGAAUCACCAGGGAAUAAAGAGAGAGGGUAUAAUAAAGCAUUAGGUUGUAGCGCCUUGUUUUUAUCUAAUAGUGGCGUGUCUGCUAUGGUAAACAGGAAAUAUAUUGCUUAUAUGUAAUAUUGCUUCAGACAGAAAAGCUGUCAAUUUGU